rnacentral:rRNA from 1 species
UACGUAGGGGGCUAGCGUUGUCCGGAAUCAUUGGGCGUAAAGCGCGCGUAGGCGGCCCAGUAAGUCCGUUGUAAAAGUCAAAGGCUCAACCUUUGAAAGCCGAUGGAUACUGCUGGGCUAGAGUCCGGAAGAGGAGAAUGGAAUUCCUGGUGUAGCGGUGAAAUGCGCAGAUAUCAGGAAGAACACCGAUGGCGAAGGCAGUUCUCUGGGACGGUGACUGACGCUGAGACGCGAAAGCGUGGGGAGCGAACAGG